CAUGUUUGUGCUGGCUGAAGCUUGAAGUGCUCCAGUGCUGGAUCUCAUGGGGAUUGGGGUGGAGAGCUGAUCCUGGACAGAGAGGGCAGGGGACAGACAGACAGCAUUCCAGUUCCCUCCCCACAAACCAAACAACCCUCCCGCCACUCCUUCCUCCCUGUGCUCUGCUGAACAGGCUUCACACGCUCUGCAGCCAGGAGGAAAGGAGGCAAAGGUGGCCUUCCUGUAUUUUUAUGAGAUGACUUUGCAUGAACAACUUCACCUGUCACAACACAUGGAAGAGGUGGAAAGAGACCAAAGGAGAAAGAUGAAACCAGUGGGACAGCAAUGUGAACUGAACCGGACCCAAACCCAAUCUGAAAUGUAUGAAAUGUGAUCCUGAAUGCCAGGCCAGCCUCCUGUUCCAAUGCUUGUCCCACCAAGACGGACUGUAUCCACUUUGAAACUUCAACAAGAUGAGAAGCUGUUGAAGAGAAGACGCGGUGAUGAUGAGAAACAAGGUGCCGGAGGACGGCAGAGCCGGCUGACAAGCACGGCGUUUCAAAGGCGCUAGGCAAGCUUAGAAAGAAGGCUGCCACUCGGGACAACAUGGAUGGAACUGCACACCGUGGAAGAAAUGAGAGAAGCAAAGAACAGGCUCACAAAGACGGUGCAUGAGGGACCCAGCCAGUCAACUGCAUGGACGGGACAGGAGAAUGUGAUUACCAGAGGCCAAGAGUUCAACGCGGACAGAACGGCCAAAGUCAAGUAUGCAAACAAGGCUUGUUCUUUGUUUCAACAUCUCUGUCACAGAGUAAGGCUAGGAGAACACUGGCAUGCCCAUUGUAAUGGUUUAUCUCGGUUGUCAACUCAGUGGGAUCUAGGAUAAGUGAAAGAUACACUUCUGGGUGGGUAAGAGGGCAUUUCCUGGAAGCAUUAACUGGAGAGGAAGUCCCACCCCUCCCCCGGAGUGGCAGUCCAGAUAGGAAGGCAACUGAGUGAGGGCAAAACUGUUGCUUUUGCUUGCCGCCUUUCUACCUUCUGGGGAUUGUAAUCUAUCCAUUCCUGUCACCACUGCUGCCACCAGCCUUUGCAGACAUCAAAACCCAGUUUGUUCAGCCUUCCAAUGUGGACCAAAUCCUCCAGAGCUCCAUUGUCACGUGGAGCUGUGAGAGCAUCACCCUCAUAGAAGUAGCAACUAUCAGUUCUUAGACCAGGUGUUCACGACAUGCUCGCGUGUUUUUGUGUGUGUGUGGGGGGGGUAUUGUCAUACUGCACACUUCAUUCAUAUAAACUGAUCUAGUACAUUUCCUUUGUAGCCUUCAUUCCAUCCACUCUGUUCUCCAGAGAGCCUGACUUGUAAUCCCAGCCCCGUAGAUGCAGGAAGGUUGGAAGUUAAGAUCAGCCUUAGUUACACAUCAACUUUGGCAAGGUUGAGGCCAGCAUGAGACCCUGUCUCACAAAUAAAUAAGCAAAUGAGUUAAUGGAUAAAUAAAUAAACUACUAGUGAAGAAUAAGCAUCAGAUUUUUUUCUCUAGAAAAAAGAGUACAUAUUAGAGCUGAUAACUCAGCAAUUAACUUACUUAUUUUACAUAAUACUCUUAAGUUAUAAUGAUACUUUGUUGUAGCAGGUUUUCUAUUUGGGCUGCCAGCUCACAAAAAAAAAUGAUGUGGAGACGUGUCACUAAUUAUGAAAGCUUGGUCUAUAGCUGGCCCCACUAGCUCUAAUAACUUAAGUCAACCUAUUUAUAUUAAUCUAUGUUUUGCCUUGUGGCUUUUUACCUCUCUUCCAUCAUGCACCUCCCAUUUCCUUCUCCUCUGUCAUCUCCCCAUACCAAAUUCAUCUCCCCUUCCUCUCUCUCUCUACCCAAAAGCCUCACCUACCCUCCUCCUGCCUAGCUAUUGGCCAUUCAGCUCUUUAUUAAAUCAAUCAGAAGGCACAUUGGCAAAGACACAUCUUCACAGUGUACAAAAAAUAUUCCAUAACACUUUGUACUGCACAAAUGCAUACAAUUACAAAUUAUUUAUGAGAAUAAUGCCAUAAUAAAGACAUUGUGGCCGGGCGCUGGUGGUGCAUGCCUUUAAUCCCAGCACUUGGGAGGCAGAGGCAGGUGGAUCUCUGUGAGUUUGAGACCAACCUGGUCUACAGAGCGAGUUCCAGGACAGCCUCCAAAACAAUACAGAGAAACCCUGUCUUGAAAAACCAUUAAAAAAAAGGACAUGUGACAAAGCCCAGUGGGUUGUGGACCACAAAGCAAAGAGGAUGAAGGAAAGGGCAGGGUUUAGUAAAAAUGUUGGGACAUAACAAAAGCAUGGAUGGUGUGGCUAGAGUCAGCUACAGAUGAUAGUGAGAGGCCAGGGCAAACCAGCUGACGGUACAGAAAAAAAGCAUCAAUUCCAAGCUUCUAAUGCAGUGGUUCUCACUCUUCCUAACACUCUGAUCCUUUAGUACAGUAGUGGUGACCCCAACCAUAAAAUUGUUUUCAUUGCUGCUUCACAACUGUAAUUUUGCUACUGUUAUGAAUUGUAAUGUAAAUAUCUGUGUUUUCAGAUGUUCUUGGGCAAUCCUAUGAAAGGAUCGUUUGACCCCCCCCCUCCCCAGGGGUUGUGACCCACAGGUUGAAGAACUGCUGUUCUAAUGUUUGUUUUGUAGCCUCGGAGGUUACAAUUAAAAGUACAUUAAAAGACCUCAA